CCUACGGGUGGCAGCAGUAGGGAAUAUUGCUCAAUGGGGGAAACCCUGAAGCAGCAACGCCGCGUGGAGGAUGAAGGUUUUCGGAUUGUAAACUCCUUUUGUUAGAGAAGAGAAUGACGGUAUCUAACGAAUAAUCACCGGCCAACGCCGUGCCAGCCGCCGCGGUAAUACGGAGGGUGCAAGCGUUACUCGGAAGCACUGGGCGUAAAGGGCGCGUAGGCGGGAUAGCAAGUCAGAUGUGAAAUCCUAUGGCUUAACCAUAGAACUGCAUUUGAAACUGUUAUUCUAGAGUAUGGGAGAGGUAGGUGGAAUGCUUGGUGUAGAGGUGAAAUCCGUAGAGAUCAAGAGGAAUACUCAUUGCGAAGGCGACCUGCUAGAACAUAACUGACGCUGAUGCGCGAAAGCGUGGGGAGCAAACAGGAUUAGAUACCCCUGUAGUC
rnacentral:rRNA from 1 species